rnacentral:lncRNA from 1 species
UGGAACAGCACAUUCAGCAACUGAGGUAGCUGCUCUCCUCUUUGGGAUAUGAGGUCUCCGGAGCAAGAUGAAGCUGUUACUGGAUACAAUCAAAGCUCCCAUGGUUUGAAACUGUGUAUAGUCACUCAGAUGCUCAGAUACUUAAGAAAAAAAUAUUGACCUACAUUUGUCCCUCUCCAGAACUGCUGGAUGCCAAGCAAGUACAAAUAUCACAUGUUAAGCUGUUGUUCUUAUCUGUCACUGCUAUAACCAAUAAAAAGGUAAGAGUGAAAACUAAUUUUGAUAAUGCUUUGAGUUUUCAUAUUCUAUUUUUCAACAUGAUCUGUACUGCCCAUACAGGAAAGCACAUAAACUGAAGGCAGUGUAGAAAGCUGUACUGAUUAAAUGAUGCGAGAUCUGGUUCUGUCACAGUAGAUUAUUUCAGACUGGAACACCAAAAACCAUUUUAGAGCUCUGUAGACCUUCCCCAUUAUCUCUGUAAUUCCUGCUGAUGUUAAUCAAAACUAUUGUUCUAUUUGCAAGGUACUUAAUACCAUUUUGAUUGCCAUUCAUUUU